ensembl:lincRNA
GGCAUGGACAGAAGUUGCUACGAACCCGUAAGGAUAGGCCACCAGUAACACAGAAUAACUCUGAUCUCCUCCACCGUUGACCUAUUCAUCCCAGUUUCUCAUCUUGCUCUCAAGAUACUUCUCUCUGAUGCCUCUAGUUUGUAGCAACUCAGCAUUCUGCAAAGACUCUGCUCCAGCUGGGCAAGUAACCUUGUUAUUGCAUACACAGGUAUGCUCAGAGGACAGAAGGCUGGAAGGAAGGGAAGAAGGUAGAAAAACAAGAGUGAAAAAGAGGGUUUCCGAUUUAUGGAUGUAUAUUAAAGCAUAUUGAAGAUAUCAGGUGAUUUCAUCCCUUUAUAUACUUCAGCAUAUAUCUCCAAAUGGUAAGAACAUAUGACUAAUUUCAUAAUAAAAAUAAUGGCAUUUUUAACCAAAAUUUAAAAUAAUAUAUUGAUUUUAUAUAGCACCCAGUUCAUAACAAAAUAAAAUAGUUCCCUCUAAUCCUCUGAGGAUACAUUCC